AGGCUCAAAACAAAUUCCCUGACUCGGCCUACUUUUUUUCUUCUACAACAGCAACCAUUGUAUCAACUCUAGCGUACAACUAUACGCACAACAAUAGUUCGCGUACAAACAACGAAAACAAACCGUACAACCGACGAAUAGCUCAACCAAUCGACCCGACAUCAACAACCCAGCAAACCCAAUUCCUCUCUAGCCCCAAAAAUAUCAAAACAAAAUCUCUCCAGUUUGUAUAGUUUGAGCGUGUCAAGCACGAGCUCACGAGUGAAUCAAAGCUUUCCAGAAUAUUUGGGAGAUUAUACCUUCGAAUUUUCACUUUUUAUUUUUAUUUUUUGCCAAAAAUCAUAUGAUUUCAGCUCACGUAGCUCAUCCUUAUCCCUAAUUUGAAUUUUUUCUUAGAAAAAAUCUCCAUAAUACUCUUGAUCUUCCUUUUCUCCCAUAUCGAUGGAAGCGGGUUUUGGCCUUCAAUUUAUUUUCUAUAUAAAGCUCCUUGUAGAGCUAAAAAUUCAAGUCUCAAUAGAGUGGAAAAAGCUUUUCAAAGCAAAAAGUUGAAAUAUUUUUUUUAGUAAUAUUUUGGAAGGCAGUCGGCUAAUCGAAGUUCUCAAAAGAUUUUUUUUUUAUGGUGGUCGAGAUUUCGACGAUAGCUUGAAGUCUCGUUUUGCUGCUCUAAGAAAGGUAAACUUUCAUUUCAUCUUUGCUCUUCUUUUUCUCAUUUUUUUCUCUUUCUUCAUAAUAGUUAGCAGUAUUUGAUUCUCUAGUAUUAUAAUGGUGGGAUUGCUUGUUGUAGAUGACUUUGAUAGUCGUAGAAUUUGCUUGUGAUUGUCAUUGUUGUGUUGUUUAAUCAAUAUUCGUGUUAUACUUUUCACUGUUAGCCAUAUAUUUUUUGUUUCAGUUCUUCAAAUUCACUGUUUUACCCUAUUAUUCUUUUGGCUUUUAUUGUUUUCGAUUAGCCCGAAAUAGUGCUGUGUUUCUCUUUGUCUCUGCCUUAUAUGGAUUAUUGUGAGUAGGCUCAGUGUUUAUAUUGAUAAUUUAUUUCAGCUUUGAGUUUGCCAUUCCAAUUCAAUAUCGUCUUGGAUUCAAUUUCUACUCAUAAAAGUCUAAAACUCUGAAGAGUUUUGUAGGACUAUUUAUGAGAGAUGGUUGUGUUAGCUUCUCUGCCAAAAGCUCCAAAUGAGCGUAUUUUGCUUGAUUCAUUUCAAAUAUUUUUCUCCCCUUUUAUCUCUUGAUUUCAUUUGAAGUAAAUCUGAUUUAAACUCAAAGUCGUCAAAAAAAAGAGAAAUUUUUUAUUGAUGUUUCUAAACGAGAAUGACGCCCUUCUUAUUCGACAUUUUGAUUAUUUUGCUCAUGGGGUUUGUUUAGUUUAAUUCCCAACUUUAGUGUAUGCCUUACUAUUUUCUUGUUCCUUCUCGUUAAUGGUCUGGUAUUUUUAUUAAAGUUUCCAUCUUAUUGCAUCUCAUACUUGAAAGAAAACUUUCUGAAAGUUUUUCUUCCAAUUUCGUCUGAUAUGUCUUUCCGCGGUUCCAUUUAUUUUAAACAUGUUUUUUUUUUUUGUGAUGUUCUGGUCAUCUUUAGGGUUUAUAACGUGCACAUUUUAGGAUUUGAUUCAUGGUUCUCCCAAGUUCAUGAUACUAAGGAAAGAACUGAUGAAACCUUGGAGGAAAGGCAAUGUAAUCUUACGUACUUCUCUUCUCUUCUCUUAAAUGCUUGGUUGCAAUUUUGUGUUUUAAUCAUUCUUAUUUCUGCUUACUGGAAUCCCACAAAACUAAUUUUAAAUCUCUCUCUAUUCUUUAAAAUCAGUUUACAUGUUUUACGUAUUGAUGAUAUCCAUAAUUGCGAGACUUUACCAUGUUAAGUAUGCUCAUUUCUUUUUUUCUCUCUUAUAUAAAAAUAGAAGUUGUAGGGUUUUUUGUUUUUUUUUUGAAGUUAAACCUAUUUAUUUUUCUUGGCAUUUCUAUAUCUUGACUUACCGUCUUCUAUUUUAUUAUGGACCAUAAUAGUUUCCUUUUUAUCUAUUGUUUUGUUAUAUUAAUUUCUCCAUAUAGCAUUGUGUAUUUCGGAUGCGUAUUAAUUUUCUUCAUGUCUUUUUUUCCAUGUGAAUCUGUUUCGGAGUCAAAUGAACUCUUCUCCUUUUGCAUUCUAUAAUGGGCUAAUGAGGCGCAUCCCUUCUAGUCGGUCAUUUUUUGGAUAAAGAAGUUGUUGCUGAUAGAAGAAGAAAAAUGUGUCAAAACCCAGUGACAAAGUUGCUAGGAUUUGGAAACUCGAAAAAGUCUCGAUUAUUUUUUUCCUUUGUAUAUAUUUAUUUAUUCAUUCAUUCAUUGUGGGUCUCAAAGUCAAAGUUGUAAUCUAAUACAGGUGAAACAAAUUUUUGGGCCUUCAAGGUCCGAAAACUAGUUUAGGACAGGUUGCGGGUCAAAAACCCAAAUGAUUAAACUAGAACAAGUACAAAUGGGCUAAAAGCACAAAUAAUUAGACUAGGACAGGUACAGUGGGCCAAAAGCCUAAAUAGUUAUAUUAGAACAUGUUGUGUGCCGAAAGUCCAAUUAGAUUAGGACAGAUUUAUGAUUUGCGCCUAAUGGCCUAAGUCUUUUAGUAUUCCCCUUACUCCUUUCUAUGUUAUUUGCUACUAAUCUUUUUUUAAAAGACUCAGUUAAAUUUCCUAUUAAGUCGUCAAAAAUUGAUUUUACAUAAACCUCAAAAUAAUUUUUCCUUAAUCAAUUUCCUCUCUAAAUCUAAAAGUAAAUUUUUUUUUUUAAGUUAGUCAAAAAAGUUGUUUUCAAGUAGUCUGUAUAACCGCAAGUUAGCGGCUACUCUUAGUGCCUUAACAAACUUUCAAAAGUAUUAAUAGGAAUCACUUACUCAGAAUUUUCAAAGUUAAAGGAUUUUCCUAUUUUGAAUCUUUUAAGUAAAUUUUUAAAAGGUUUUCUUAAUUUUUCUAAAUAAAUUAAGUGGCGACUCUAUUUUUCAAAUUGAGUUUGAAAACUUUUUCAAAAAUAUUUGAAUUCGUAAAAUUGCAAAAAGCCAUCUUUGUUCGCAAAACAAUUAUGGUUUAAAAAUAUUUAAUUGUUGUAUUUGUUCGUUUUGUAUUUGUUGGAUACAUUGUAUCAAUCCCUUCGGAACCUUGUUGUAUUUUUGUUGAAUACACUGUAUAUGUUCGCUUAACUUAGCUGUAUUAACAUAUACAAAUUCAUUGGAUACACAUCCUUUUGUUUCUUAUUGUUGAUUGUUGAUACAGGGGUUUGGUGAAGUGUUUUUGGACUUUCAUGUCAUGAAAAUUCUCAGGUGGACUACU
rnacentral:lncRNA from 1 species